GGAUGAGCCCGCGGCCUAUCAGCUUGUUGGUGGGGUAAUGGCCUACCAAGGCUUCGACGGGUAGCCGGCCUGAGAGGGUGACCGGCCACACUGGGUACUGAGACACGGCCCAGACUCCUACGGGAGGCAGCAGUGGGGAAUAUUGGACAAUGGGCGAAAGCCUGAUCCAGCAACGCCGCGUGAGGGAUGACGGCCUUCGGGUUGUAAACCUCUUUCAGCACAGACGAAGCGAAAGUGACGGUAUGUGCAGAAGAAGCACCGGCCAACUACGUGCCAGCAGCCGCGGUAAUACGUAUGGUGCGAGCGUUGUCCGGAAUUAUUGGGCGUAAAGGGCUCGUAGGCGGUUUGUUGCGUCAGGAGUGAAAACUCGGGGCUUAACCCCGAGCCUGCUUCUGAUACGGGCAGACUUGAGGUAUGCAGGGGAGAACGGAAUUCCUGGUGUAGCGGUGAAAUGCGCAGAUAUCAGGAGGAACACCGGUGGCGAAUGCGGUUCUCUGGGCAUUACCCGACGCUGAGGAGCGAAAGUGUGGGGAGCGAACAGGAUUAGGAUACCCUGGUAGUCCACACCGUACACGUUGGGCGCUAGGUGUGGGACUCAUUCCACGAGUUCCGUGCCGCAGCUAACGCAUUAAGCGCCCCGCCCUGGGGAGUACUGCCGCAAGGCUAAUACUCACAGGGAAUUGACGGGGG
rnacentral:rRNA from 1 species